rnacentral:rRNA from 1 species
CCUACGGGUGGCAGCAGUGGGGAAUAUUGCACAAUGGGGGGAACCCUGAUGCAGCGACGCCGCGUGCGUGAAGAAGUACUUCGGUGUGUAAAGCUGUAUCAGCAGGGAAGAAAAUGACGGUACCUGAGUAAGACGCCCCGGCUAACUCCGUGCCAGCAGCCGCGGUAAUACGGAGGGUGCGAGCGUUAAUCGGAAUUACUGGGCGUAAAGCGGUCGUAGGCGGUAUGUCAAGUCAAGGGUGAAAUCCCCGCGCUCAAAGUGGGAACUGCCUUUGAAACUGGCAAACUGGAGUGUGUGAGAGGAUAGUGGAAUUCCAGGUGUAGGAGUGAAAUCCGUAGAUAUCUGGAGGAACAUCAGUGGCGAAGGCGACUAUCUGGCACACAACUGACGCUGAGGAGCGAAAGCGUGGGUAGCAAACAGGAUUAGAUACCCCUGUAGUC